rnacentral:rRNA from 1 species
GUAAAGGGUGCGUAGGUGGCCAGGAAAGUUUGAUGUGAAAGCUCCGAGCUCAACUCGGAAAAUGCAUUGAAUACUACUUGGCUUGAGGAUCGGAGGGGAGACUGGAAUUCUCGGUGUAGCAGUGAAAUGCGUAGAUAUCGAGAGGAACACCAGUGGCGAAGGCGAGUCUCUGGACGAUUCCUGACACUGAGGCACGAAAGCUAGGGGAGCAAACAGGAUUAGAUACCCUGGUAGUCCUAGCCGUAAACGGUGCACACUUGCUGUAGGAGGAUUCGACCCCUUCUGUGGCGGAGCAAACGCGUUAAGUGUGCCGCCUGGGGAGUACGGUCGCAAGAUUAAAACUCAAAGAAAUUGACGGGGGCCUGCACAAGCGGUGGAGUAUGUGGCUUAAUUCGAUGCAACGCGAAGAACCUUACCUGGCCUUGACAUGCAUCUCUAAGCGUGUGAAAGCACGUGACCCUUCGGGGAAUUUGCACAGGUGCUGCAUGGCU